rnacentral:rRNA from 1 species
GACGUAGGGCGCGAGCGUUGUCCGGAUUUAUUGGGCGUAAAGAGCUCGUAGGCGGCUUGUCGCGUCGUCCGUGAAAACUUGGGGCUCAACCCCAAGCUUGCGGUCGAUACGGGCAGGCUCGAGUUCGGUAGGGGAGACUGGAAUUCCUGGUGUGGCGGUGAAAUGCGCAGAUAUCAGGAGGAACACCGGUGGCGAAGGCGGGUCUCUGGGCCGAUACUGACGCUGAGGAGCGAAAGCGUGGGGAGCGAACAGG